GUGCGUCUAAACUUUGUAAAGUUGAGUGAAGAGCUCAUCUGCCAUCGGUGCGCUAACCCACAUGAGACGACGCGUUGGGAGAUGGCUAAGCUUUGUAAAGUUUAGGAGGGAAUGCAGUCAUCGAGGCAGUGACCCACAAAGGGACUUCGCGUCAGGUACAUCCAAGCUUUGUAAAGCUGAGUAAGGAGUUCAUCUGCUAUUGGUGCGCUGACUCACAGGGGACGAUGCGUUGAGAGAUGACUAAAGCUUUGUAAAGUUUAGGAAGGAACGCAUCCACCGAGGCGGUGACCCACAAGGGACCCCACAUUAGGUGCAUCUAAGCUUAGUAAAGCUGAGGAGUUCGAUCUGAGGUGUCCAUUUUUUACGUUAGAUGAUUUGACAACUGUCGCGUAUUUCGAAGGCGACAGUUGGAUGCGAUGCCCAUUCCCAGAAAAGGCUACUACGGCUACUUAUUGUAGACGGCUGAUGGGGAUCGAGGCGACGCAUUUUAUGCGUGCGUGAACAACUAGAUCUUGGGCGUAGAUCAAAUAUGGUGUUUCAUUUCAACGGCCUAAAUUUGUGAUCUGAUGGAUGGCCUAGAUCGAUAGCAUUUGAAUUCGACGAUGGAGAUCAUCUGGAGUGUUCUAUAAAAGGGAGACUUGAGCGUUUUGAGAGGUUUUGACUCUUGCGAAAUUAGACUCUCUUUGCUCUCAAAAUUCUCUGCAAUUUCUGUUAAUCUUCAAGCGUUUUUCGACGACAUUUCUAGUUUCCGACGAGUUCCAGGGGGCCCUUUCUUCUUUUUCGAUUGUAGAAAACCCCAAUCCAUUCGUUUUAGUAAGUAUCUCACUAGUUUUUUUUUUUUAAUUCUGAAAAUAGCUUAUAAGGGUAGUGAUGCUUUGGGGAGGGAACUGGGUAUAGUUUGGAUGGAUGAGAAUAUGUUGGCGACGUCCAGUGAAGUAGCCUAGGCUAUAUUGGUGGGAAAACAUUUGGUGGAGGCUUGAUAGCCUAGUACACACAUCAGAACAUUAGGGGGCUUCUGACUAUCCAUCAAAGUUGAAAGAGGCCGACCUGGAUAGACUUAGGGCAGAAUAUAGGAUCCCUGAUAACAUAGAUCUUAUAUUGCCGGAGCCUGAUGAACAAGCCUGUUACCUUAGGCCAGGGUGUGUGGCUGUGAGCUAGGCGCUUUUCAGGGCUGGUCUUAGGCUACCUAUCCAUCAUUUCUUCCGAUACGCUCUUAGGUCAUCUGGGUUAGCUCCGACCCAAUUAAACCCAAACUCCUGGAACCAGAUGGUGGGCUCCUGGAUGUUGUGGAAGGAGGCGUCUCUUGGGAUAGAGAUCCCUUUUCAGUCUUCCAGACCCUGUACAUCCCCAAAGCGGCGGCUGGGGGACACGACUAAGGGGUGGCAUUACUUAACCUCCUGGGGGGCCUAUACUCCAUUCGUCCUAGACCUGCCGAGCUCAAUAAAGGACUGGAAGACGUCGUGGUACUGGGCAUCUGGAAGGUGGGACACAAUGGAGGGGGACUCCCUGGCGCUUCUCACAGUCCCAACUAUGUAUUCAUCACUUAGUGAAUGCUGAUGCAUUGUGUUUAAAUUUGUUUUGAGCUUCAGUUCGGUUCCUAACCUUUUUUUGUUUUUUACAGGCACUCUUCCUCGAUGUGAGAUAUCCACUGAGGACUUUGACAUAAUUUGCAUCGUCUAUCAGCUCCCACCGAAGAGGAGAUCUUAUCACGAGCUGAUUAAGAAGAACACACACUUCGUUACGCACGAUCUAAUUGCUUCCCAAGAUGAUUUCAACAAGAAGAGGCCCUUGAGGCCUGAUUUUAAGACCAUCCAGAAAAUGAUGGCCGAGGCAAGGGCCUUGAAGACCUCCUCCUUUGCUUAUAAGAAGCAGACGAAGGACUGCAAACAAGAGGCUUCAGCCACCGACAGAGGAGGAAGCAAAAGACCCUGAGGCAAACUUGUUGAGGAAGGGUAAUAAAGCUGUUGGCUCCUUGAAGGGGCCAACCAUGGCAAGGCCCUCGCAGGCUCUGAGGCAAACCACAAUACCUACUGGGGUGGCCAUUUGGGAGAAGACUGCUUCCCAAUCCGAGGCUGUCCCUGUUGCUACUACUACCCCGGUCGAAGCCCCACUUUUUGCUGUGCCAAUUUUCCAACUGCCGGGGCAGCAGAGGAGGAAGAGGGCUUGCCCCUCGAAGGAGGUGGAUUUUCUAGGCGUCAACAUUGAAGAGCUCGCAAAGGAGGUGCUGGAAGCCCUGCCUCCAGAGACGGCUACAGUGGCGAUGGUCUACCACAAAUACUGGACCAAAGAGAGGGGGACCACAUGCGUCCUGCACUACAGAGGACCUUGUUGUGGCUAACAGUGCAUACAUCGCCCAGGCUCUUAGCACAUGUGUCCAACUUGAGGGUUUAGUAAAGGACCUCAGUGCUAGGAGUGAUGACCUGGCCAAGUGUCUGGAGGAGGCGAUGCACUUCAGGGAUGCAGUGCGGGCUGCCCAAGCAAAGGCCUCGGAAGCGGAGGAUCGACUGGUCAAAGCUAAUGAGGAGACAGAGAGGCUGAAGAAGGAGCUCUAUGAAGUGGAGUGCUAGGUGGCUACUAUGACAAGGAGAGUCGAUCAUGCCAAUGAGCACCACCGGCUCGCCACUGAGGCUCUGGAGGCCUCCAACAAAGAGAAGGCCAAGUUGAGGCAAUGGGUAGAGGCCUAGGCUGAAGAGAUCGAAUCUUUGAAGAUCGAGGUGAAGGCGACGGGGGAGUCAGCAGUGUAGAACUUUAUCGAUCACUUCGAAGAACACCCACUGUAUGACGACUUCGCCAACUUCUGGGCCUCGUGGAAUGUCCAGAAAAUGUUAGAUCGUCUAAGGGAGGUCCACCCAACUCUGGAUCUAACUUCCCUGGAAGCGGAGUUCGGUGGGCCUAUUGGAGGUAGACCUGAUAGGGCCACUGAGGAAGCUACUGAAACCCCCCAAGAGGCUGAAUCGGAGGUUGGAGCUGAAGAUGCCCCUCUAGUAGAAUAUGAAUAUUUUGUAAUGGCUUUGGCCCACCUCUUGUAAUUUACUUUGAUGUUAAUGAAAUUAAAAUUUUUUCAA